GCCCCAGUGGCCUAAUGGAUAAGGCAUCGGUCUCCUAAACCGAUGAUUGUGGGUUCAAGUCCCACCUGGGGUA
rnacentral:tRNA from 1 species